CAACAUAACACUCACUAACAAGACACCCGAGAAGCAGACGUGACGUCACAGAAUGGCGAUACAAUAAUGAUUUAGGUUGUGUUAGUUUUUCCAAGUCUUUUCGUGAGGCCUAUUUUUUAGUGAGCCCAAAAUUAACAAGAUGGAGACAGUCAGCAGACGAACUUUGGACAGGAUUUACUCGGCGGUGUUCUUGGCUGUUGUGGUCCUGUCGUGGUCGUACGUCAUCUACGCAAGCAGGGUGGCAGCUCAUUGGCUGCUGGAGGAGAGGACGACCCUUCGACGUCAUGACUGACAGCCAACUACUCAAUCACAGCUUGGAUUUAGGACAGUACUACACUGCCGAAGACAAACUGGACGGGAAUUUGACUGAUGGCGUCCUGGUUUGUGAGAAUUUCAAACCCAGCGCCGUCAGUCACAGUGAUGUUUUUGCGGGAAAAGUCCUCCAUCAGCAGCUGGAUGGCGUAUGCACCCUCGACUUGGUUGCUGUUGCUGGCACUGAAGGUCAUCUGACAGGACUGCACAGGGACAGAAUGAGGUCUAAACGGCAUGUGGACCGGCACGGGGGAUUGUCUUUGGGGGUGUCACACACCGGCGAGAGGCUGAGAACAGACGUGGCGAUUUCAUAUCUGCACCUCACUUGGUCUCCAUUCGGGUCAAAAGUCAACAGCGUCAGGUUCCUCGGACAGUUGGAGGGGACUCUUGGAGACACAUGUAGAUACCCGUUGACGUGGAAACUAGUUUCCAUGGUGACCACAACCUAGAGAGGUCUUACCGGAGAACGGGCAGUAUGGUGGUCACAGGGGAAGCAUUGGUUCUGUUGAUGUCGGACCUCUUUCUCAGGUCAACAUGGGUCACGGCCAGCACGUCUCUGACGCCAUUGAUGACGUUGAUCCACUGGUGUCCCGUCAGCCUUUAGUCACAGCAUGAUUGGUCACUGUUCAAUAGGAUGGGGUCACAGGUCGUAUCAGCACCCACCUGAGCUCAAAUCUUUUGGAGGAAGUGGUGUUCACCAGCACGACCACCUCAUUCUGACACCACGUUCCAUUCCCCUCAUGCACUGUGGCCGCUGACGCCACCGUCAGCAAGCAGUUGGCAACGGGACAGUCGAGAACGCUGACGUUGUUGCACACAUUGAAGGCCACAUUAUAGCGAAGAACCAACUGUGGAGACAAGGAGCAUCACGGAAUGCAGUAUUCAUUUGGAAACCGUGACGCCGUCCUGCCUGAACCAACUUCCUCCUAUUUGGAAUCUUUUGGCCAAUAGCGGUGAGUUACCCGACAUGAAGAAUACUCAGAAAGCGACCAAGAAGAAUCACAGUGAUGAAAUAAAAACCUCAGGUUUUUCCGUAGACUGCAGCCUCAUCGAGUGUAUGUACAUACCGUGUCAUUGGAGGUUCUGCUCGGGUAGAAGGUCGUCACCGUGCUCAAAAAGUUGGGCACCUGACAGCUGCAGGCCGGAAGCAACAAGAUGAGCAGGUGGACCCACAUGACACGUGGAAACUUAUUCACUAAUCUGAGAAUCUGUAAUCGCGGAUCUGAGAACCGCAAUCGGAGAUCUUAGAACAACAAGCAGUUUUUUACGUGCCUCUGGUCCGACACGCUGGUUGUCUUCUGCAAGCUCAACGCUUCCUGGAAUUUAACUGUGCAAUCAUACAGGGAGUGGCCUGGCAUGACCACAUUGUGAUCUUGCAAUUAACCUCCUUCUGUGUGUGUGUCUGUGUGUAGGUGUGUGUGUGUGUGUGUGUGAUUGUGUGCCAAGCCACAGGUUCAGACAUUAAUGAAACAACACUGAUUAUUUUUUAUUUUCCUUAUUCCAACUGCAGUAACAUACAUCCUCACGGGUACACAGAAGUCCAAAUGGAGACCAACGUAGACUUAAACACAUCAACACACUGGAACACACUAAAAAUCAUAUUACCUCGUACUUCGAUAUGUGACAAAAAAAAACAAACAAUAUUAGGAAAGCAGGAAGUGAACAAAUGUAACAGUUAGUGAUUGUAAAAGUACCAGAUGAAGGGGUAGGAUUUAAUAAGCUUUGCUUCUUCCUACUCCUUUUGGACAUGUGGAACUGGGAACUGAUUAUGGGAUGCACUCAAUUGGAAUCUGAUGCAUGUUCAAAUGAAAUAAAAUCAUAACCAUUACCAAAAAUAAAAAUCAGUUUCAGCCAUUAACAAUAUAAAUCAGUCACAUUUUAUAAAAAGGAAAAUCAAAUCUUUUGGAUGACUUGUCAAUAUUAGACUAAAUGUAUUUUUCCCAAAUGGUGCUGGUUCCUUCCCAAUACAACACAUGUCACGUUCCAGCUUGAGAACUUUACGGUUCGACCCCAUGAUGCAGAGAUGACGCCCCACUUGCAGGUAAAAAUGUAUUUAUUGGAUGCUAUGCAGCAGAACGACGCACUAGCAUGACCAACUCAAACACGGCAAUGACCCGACAAAGAAGGGAGCAACGCACCUGAACUAAAUAGGCAACACAAUAGGAAACAGGUGCAGGAGAUCAUUGAACGCAACUGAAAACGGAACAGAGCCACACAGGAAGUAAAUACAAAAUAAGGGCAACUAGGAACUCAGGAAAAAAGGAAAACUAAGAGCUGUCACGAGGGGGUGAAGCCCAAUGGUGACAACACAAUCAGUAACGAUCGAGACCUUCUCGCCAAUCGGAAGCCUGAAGAAAGUCAUUAUGGGGGACAUUAUGUGUCGCUGUGGUCUACUUUGCUGAAGUUGACCAUUCUCAGUGUGAUGUCAGACGGCAGCCCUCGCUCCAUCAGCUCGUUCUUCAGCUGCAACAAGACAAAAGUGGCGGUCAAAUUGUGUCCUGAAUUACGCCUACCUGACAUGUGUUCCAAGAUGGUGGACCUGCGGUAAGCCGACUUCUUGAAUUUCUUCUCGAAACAGCGGCACCGAGGAGGAGAUCUUGGCAGUCAUGGCAACCACAACUAAAAGACAAGAAGUUUAAAAAAGACAACCGGCAUGCUAAGAUGUAUUUAUGAGAAGCUGUGAUGUCAUACUGUUAUUUGCUGGCGGUUCAGGACCUGUAAGAGACAAGUGAGACAGCGUGACAAGAUGUUUGUUGGGCAUUAUAAACAUCUGUAGACCACAGACAGGAACACGCUCCACUCACUGUGCUUGACCACCACAACUAUACAACGCAGUUCAGACUGGAGUUUACUUUUGAGGACGAUGGCUUGAACAACAAAACAGACUGGAUGACUUUGUCCCAAGUCACGGUCAGACGGCUUCCAGAUCAGCAGAAAGCUUCCGUUCUCCAGUGUCUCCUUCGUCAUGGUGGACGGCCCGCUGAACAGAAGCUCCGAGACACUGGUCAACCGAGAGACGUCUGUCAAUCAGGCGGCAAUACUGGUUGUUUGUUUCAGCUUUUUCCUGAUUACGAUGUCACAACAGCAGAUCUUUUUGAUCCGCAUACUCAUUUUUGGCUUGGGCUCUUUAAAUUCCGGAUGCCCAUCAGGGCGGCAAUACUUUAUAAUUAAUAUUAAUACACAUCAGACAUUUGGUUGCAAAUUCUAGCGCUGUUUUCUGAAUAUUUUUUUUUGUGUUUAUUGGCUUAUGAAUUCUACCGAACAACAAAUGGCUACAAGGGGAAAGAAUCAAAACUGAUGUCUAAGUUGUUGCAUCUGUUGUCACGUUCAUAAUAAAUCUGUACUACUACACUAGGAAUGUUUUAAAUAAUACAAAAUAUUUGUUUGAAAGAAAAACAUACUUGGACAUUGCCGACUUUGCAUGGAUGGGAAUAGCCAGGGUUGUGUUGACCAGAACGUAGAAAUGCUGUCCGUUGGCAACUGUAGGUAACAGGAAGCUGGGCAGAAACACUCCCUCUUCACAGGACUCCACUGGAGGGUCCACUGUACGUCCACACACAGAAUAACACUCAAGUUUUUGUGCAGGUGAGCCGACACUCAAAAUGAAGCACUCGUUCUCACCCUUUAGAACAAACUGGACGGGAAUUUGACUGAUGGCGUCCUUGCUUGUGAGAACCUCCGUUUUUUUGUCUCCAGUCACAGUGAUGUUCCGGAGAGGAAAGUCUUCCAUCAGCAACUGGAUGGUGUAAACGCCCUCCACUUCCUCGCUGGUUCCGGUGGGACUGAAGGUCAUGAGACAAGACUGCACAGGAACAAUGAAGGAGCUUGAUGGUCUGCUAUGGAGAUAGUUUUUUGGGGAAUGGGUCCCUCACCGGGAACAGACUGAGAACAAAUGGGAUGUUUUCAUAUCUGCACUUCACUGUGUCUCCGUCGGGGUCAAAAGUCAACAGCGUCAGGUUCCUCCGGCAGUUGGAGGGGACUCUUGGAGACACAUGUAGACGGCCGUUGACGUGGCAACUGUGUUUCCAUGGUGACCACACUCCUGAGAGGUCUUACCUGAGAACGGGCAGCACGGUGGUCACGGGCGAAGCGUUGGCCUGGCCUGUGUCCGACCUGCGUCUCAGGUUGACGCGAGUCACAGCCUGUAUCACUGGGACUUUGUUGGUGACGUUGAUCAGCCUUUAACCGCAGCGUGAUUGGUCACUGCGUGUACGAUGUAUGGCAUCACAUAGUACCGUAUCGUAUCAUCACUCACCGUAACGAAAAAUGUUGAGUUGAGUUGUUGUGAAGAGACGAGACCACCUCAGUCUGACACCAUUCUCCGCUGCUCUCCGUGUCCACCUUGGUCAGAGUCGCACCUUCCUCCAUGCAGUCAUCGAUGUCACAUGUCCACCUGAUGUCACUUUGGCACGUUUGGUAGCCCACUUUGUAGCGAAGGACAACCUGUGGAGUUCAAAAUAUUGAUUAUUCAUUGGGGAUUAAGGGGGCUGCCGGUUGCCAUGGUAACUGUGCAACCUGGACAUACCGUGUUAUUCCUGGUAUUGCUGGGGUAGAAGGUCGUCACCGUGCCCAACAGGUUGGAUGCCUGACAACUGCAGGCCAACAGCAAGAAGACUAGCAAGUGGACGCACACGACGCAUGAAGUUACCACCAUCUUGAAGAUAAUGUGUCUGCGUGCGUCUAGUCCGACCUGCAAACACAGCACUUCUUCAAAUGGAACAAUGACCAUGGGCGUGGCCUGGCAGGACCGUGUGCGUGUUUCUCAGGCGUAGAUGUGGGCGAGACACCACAGAUGAUAUCUGUGUGGAGUUUGCAUGUUCUGCCCGUGCGUGGGUUUUCUCCGGGUACUUUCUCCCACAUUCCAAAAACAGGAGGCCAAUGGUUGGCUACCACUUCAGGGUGGCCCAAGUCACCUGGGAUAGGCUCCAGCAUACCCUAGUGAGGACAAGGAGCAUAGAAAAUGAAUUAGUUUUUGAAAUGGAGCCAUGUUGGCACAGUCAUGUCAAAUGCAUUAUUUCAUGAUGUGAGCAUUUAAUUUAUCAUUUUCAUUUUUCUUGUUGCAUAAAGACGUCUUAGUUCUUCUUACUUUAGAGGGUUUUCACGAUGUUUGUGAUAAAUGGCACAAAACCACAGCACAGUUCAAUCACAUUGAGAAAUGAAUGGUAUGAAAUCUGACAUGAUGAUCAGAUAGGAGACGGGUUCCAUUCUCAAGCAAACCACACGCUGAUUGAAAAGUAAUACUGAUAUGACUUAAAUCUAUGGAGAAUACGAGAAGUUAUGUCUUUUUAAUCACAUUUUAAACAAAUACAAUACACUUUUUUCCCCGUAUCUUGUAAGAAUUAUACAGUAGUUCAGAAAUAAAUUCAAAGUACGUAAAAAUAGUGAGUUACUUUUUAAUCACCCUCCUGUUAGAGCGGACAAUGUGUGAACCACGUCACUCACAUGUCACAUAAAAUGUUUAGAAUGUUUGGAAAAAGUCUACUGGAUGCAGUAGCGGACGGACCAGUUAUUUUUAAUCACGCGGAAGUAGUUGAUUUAAUUAUUGAGAAUACACCGUCAACUUCCUUCUUGAUCAUAGGAAUUGUUCAUUCAUUCAUUCAUUUUCUACCGCUUUUUCCGCGGGGGUGCUGGAGCCUAUCCCAGCUGUCUUCGGGCGAGAGGCGGGGUACACCCUGGACUGGUGGCCAGCCAAUCCCAGGGCACAUAUAGACAAACAACCAUUCACACUCACAUUCAUACCUAUGGACAAUUUGGAGUGGCUAAUUAACCUAGCAUGUUUUUGGAAUGUGGGAGGAAACCGGAGUACCCGGAGAAAACCCACGCAUGCACGGGGAGAACAUGCAAACUCCACACAGAGAUGGAAUCGAACCCUUGUCCUCCUAGCUGUGAGGUCUGUGCGCUAACCACUUGACCGCUGUGCCGCCCCAUAAGAAUUGUAUAAUAAUCAUAAUAUUAGAAGCUUUAUAACCUUUGAAUGAGGAUAAGAUUACUUUAGAAUGAAUAAAUGCAGAAUAUUUUCAUAAUGUGUGACUUCCCUGAAACACGACCAAGUUAAAAUUUCGAUUGUUUUCCUAAUUGGGACAAUGAAGCUGCUUUGUAGAAGGGCUGAAAAUAACGUUAACCAGUUUUCUGCAUGUUAUUAAUUACUUUGGUAGACGCCAACAAAAGUAUUCCU